rnacentral:tRNA from 1 species
GGUGGGGUAGCUCAAUGGAAGAGCAUCGGGGAAACCCGAGACAGGUGGUUCGAUUCCGCCACCCACCU